rnacentral:rRNA from 1 species
ACGGAUAACAGAGAAUCUGGGUUCGAUUCUGGAGAGGCCGCAUGAGAAACGGCGACCACUUCCAAGGAAGGCAGCAGGCACGCAAAUUACCCACUUCGGACACCGAGAGGUAGUGACGAACAAUACCGAUGCGGCGCACUUACGUGUCGCCGUAAUCGGAAUGAGUACACUUCAAAUCCUUUAACGAGGAUCCACUGGAGGGCAAGCCUGGUGCCAGCAGCCGCGGUAAUUCCAGCUCCAGCAGCGUAUAUUUAUAUUGCUGCGUUUAAAAAGCUCGUAGUUGAAGCGUCAGACGCGGGAGGGCGGACGGCCGCACUGGUCGCUCUCGCCCGACCGAGCCAGGCGCAGAGGGCGCGCGUCGCUUGCACUUCACCGUGUGAGCGCGCCGCCGCUGCACGUUCACCUUGAAGAAAUUGAACCGCUUAGAGGGGGCGAGCAGCUUGAACAGCUCAGCAUGGUAUGAUGGAACAUGGGCUCGUACUCAUUUUGUUGGUUAGAGAGUCGGCGAGCCAAUGAUUAACAGGGACUGCCGGGGGCAUUAGUACUCGGACGGGAGAGGUGAAAUUCAAGGAUCGUCCGAAGACUCCCUACUGCGAAAGCAUUUGCCAAGAAUGUUUUCAUUAAUCAAGAACGAAAGUCAGAGGUGCGAAGGCGAUCAGAUACCGCCGUAGUUCUGACCGUAAACGUUGCCAACUGGCAAUUGGGCGCACUUCUGUCGAAGUUGCCGCCAGCAGUAUUUCCCGGGAAACCAAAGUCAUUGGGUUCCGGGGGGAGUAUGGUUGCAAAGCUGAAACUUAAAGGAAUUGACGGAAGGGCACCACCAGGAGUGGAGCCUGCGGCUUAAUUUGACUCAACACGGGAAACCUCACCCGGCCCGAACACUGUUAUGACAGACAGGUUGAGAGCUCUUUCUCGAUUCAGUGGUUGGUGGUGCAUGGCCGUUCUUAGUUCGUGGAGCGAUCUGUCUGGUUAAUUCCGAUAACGAACGAGAUUCUUGCCUGCUAAAUAGACGGCGUCGACUGCGUGCGACGACCGUUCGCUUCUUAGAGGGACAAGCGGCUUUUAGCCGCGUGAAGCUGAGAGCAAUAACAGGUCAGUGAUGCCCUCAGAUGUUCGGGGCCGCACGCGCGCUACACUGUUUGCAUCAGCGUGUUUCUCCCGCGCCGAUCGGCGCGGGCAACCCGUUGAACCGCAAACGUGCUAGGGAUCGGAGAUUGCAAUUGUUCUCCGUGAACGAGGAAUUCCUUGUACUGGCGAGUCAUCAGCUCGCGGGGAAUCUGUCCCUGCCCUUUGUACACACCGCCCGUCGCUACUACCGAUUGAGUGGUUUAGUGAGGCUCACGGACUGCGAGCGGCACCCGGCGGCUUCGGCCGUCAACGGCGUCGCGAGCGGAAAGUGAGACGAACUUGAUCACUUCUAGGAAGUAAAAGUCGUAACAAGGUUUUCGUAGGUGAACCUGCGUAAGGAUCA